GUGAAUCAUCGAAUUUUUGAACGCAAAUUGCACUCUCUGGUAUUCCGGAGAGUAUGCCUGUUUGAGGGUCAGUUUAAAUAAAAAUCGGUGUGGUUGCUGCCUUUCGUGGUGACGCACCGGAUUUGGGUCGUCUUGCCUUCGGUUAAGUGACCUAAAAUUUUCAUGGAUUUUUUUGGAAGUAAUUUAAUGAUUUUAAGUACGUUUUGGGUU
rnacentral:misc_RNA from 1 species